rnacentral:tRNA from 1 species
GAGAGGUGGCAGAGUGGUUGAAUGCACCGGUCUUGAAAACCGGCAAGGGUUCAUAGCCCUUCGUGGGUUCAAAUCCCACCCUCUCC